rnacentral:tRNA from 1 species
GGAGAGAUGUCCGAGUGGCUGAAGGAGCGCGCCUGGAGAGCGCGUGUACGGGUUCCCUGUACCGUGGGUUCAAAUCCCACUCUCUCCGCCA